AAUAUAUGCAAAUUGCAUAACCUAAUAAGAUUCGUGAAGUUAGGAAUCAAUAAGUUUUAGAGGAAUCAGUUUCUUGAUGUUCAUGGUUCCUAAAUGAUGUAGCUUGUAUUAAUUACAAAAAAAUUUCCUGUUUGCAUUUUGCUACAAUGCAAAGGAGGAAGAGUUCAGUGAUUUCAGAUCAUAGUCAAACUGUUCGUCACUGCACAUUUUGUGAUCUUUUAUUAUUAUUAUUUUUGUUCUGCCAAAACUUGGUCCGACACCAAUGAAGAAAGUACUCUUUGAUUGAUUUUGAAGGCUGGAAGUAAUGCAACUUACUAGUUUUACCUACCUUCUUAUGGUAUGAUUCUGUUCUGUUUUGAGUAGGGUCCUUUUCGACUUGUGGCUGAGGAGGGAAAGUCUAAUUGUUCAUGGGUCAGCCUUGAUGAUAUAACUACCUGCUUGAAACGAGCAUGCAAAUGUCUAGGUUAAUCAGUCCCAUUGAUGCGGACAUCCAGCCGUCCAUGGCUAUCCGAGGAGCUGAAGAUCAACGACUACCAUCGUCCCACGUUAUCUUAUAUUUUAUUUGUAAUUUUUAAAUUUUUAUUAUAAAUUUUCCGUUUUUACCCUCACUAAGAGGGUCGUCCUAUGUAAGCCUUAGGGGCAUAUGUGUAUUGUUUUAGUUUCUUAGGCCUAUAUUUAGAGGCAUUUUCUUGUGUAAUGGGAUGAUGAAUUGAUAAUGAAAUUUUAUUCUACUUGUUUGAUC